GAUGAACGCUAGCUACAGGCUUAACACAUGCAAGUCGCGGGGCAGCAUGGGGGUUGCUUGCAACUCCCGAUGGCGACCGGCGCACGGGUGAGUAACGCGUAUCCAACCUGCCCUUCACCACGGGAUAACCCGGCGAAAGUCGGACUAAUACCGUAUGUUGUCCAUUGACGGCAUCCGAUUUGGACGAAAGGCUUUGCGGUGAAGGAUGGGGAUGCGUCCGAUUAGCCAGACGGCGGGGUAACGGCCCACCGUGGCUACGAUCGGUAGGGGUUCUGAGAGGAAGGUCCCCCACACUGGAACUGAGACACGGUCCAGACUCCUACGGGAGGCAGCAGUGAGGAAUAUUGGUCAAUGGGCGUAAGCCUGAACCAGCCAAGUGGCGUGCAGGAUGACGGCCCUAUGGGUUGUAAACUGCUUUUAUGCGGGGAUAAAGUGGCCCACGUGUGGGCUUUUGCAGGUACCGCAUGAAUAAGGACCGGCUAAUUCCGUG
rnacentral:rRNA from 1 species